rnacentral:rRNA from 1 species
GAUGAACGCUGGCGGCGUGCCUAAUACAUGCAAGUCGAGCGAAUGGAUUAAGAGCUUGCUCUUAUGAAGUUAGCGGCGGACGGGUGAGUAACACGUGGGUAACCUGCCCAUAAGACUGGGAUAACUCCGGGAAACCGGGGCUAAUACCGGAUAACAUUUUGAACCGCAUGGUUCGAAAUUGAAAGGCGGCUUCGGCUGUCACUUAUGGCUGGACCCGCGUCGCAUUAGCUAGUUGGUGAGGUAACGGCUCACCAAGGCAACGAUGCGUAGCCGACCUGAGAGGGUGAUCGGCCACACUGGGACUGAGACACGGCCCAGACUCCUACGGGAGGCAGCAGUAGGGAAUCUUCCGCAGUGGACGAAAGUCUGACGGAGCAACGCCGCGUGGGUGAUGAAGGCUUUCGGGUCGUAAAACUCUGUUGUUAGGGAAGAACAAGUGCUAGUUGAAUAAGCUGGCACCUUGACGGUACCUAACCAGAAAGCCACGGCUAACUACGUGCCAGCCGCCGCCGUAA